rnacentral:ncRNA from 2 species
AACUGAGGUAGAGGCGCAAAAUUUAAGAGUAGAACUGUGGAGACAAGCACUAUGAAGCAGUUUAAAAGGAAAUUUUGCCGAAGCGUAUAGCUAAUGCUUUAAUGCUGUACUGCUGGGUUUGUAUAAAAUAUGUGCAAAACUGUCACAAAGUAUAAUUGUGGAGAACUAUCAUUGGU